CUACCAUUGAUGGACAUUGUGGCAUACACUGACAAAGGCAGCAAGUUUUUUUCCCUUGGCCGGAAGGUCUGGGUAAUCUUGUGAAACUUUGUCGUGCUGGGGAUAGUCCUUUGUAAUUAUUGGACUUCAACGAGGAAUUCCUAGUAAGCGCGAGUCAUCAGCUCGCGUUGAUUACGUCCC
rnacentral:ncRNA from 1 species